rnacentral:rRNA from 1 species
UAAGGAAUAUUGGUCAAUGGACGCAAGUCUGAACCAGCCAUGCCGCGUGAAGGAUGAAGGUCCUCUGGAUUGUAAACUUCUUUUAUCUGGGACGAAAACGGGAUUUUUAUCUCAAUUGACGGUACCAGAGGAAUAAGCACCGGCUAACUCCGUGCCAGCAGCCGCGGUAAUACGGAGGGUGCGAGCGUUAUCCGAAUUUACUGGGUUUAAAGGGUGCGUAGGUGGGCUUAUAAGUCAGUGGUGAAAUCUCCGAGCUUAACUUGGAAACUGCCGUUGAUACUAUAGGUCUUGAAUUAUCUGGAGGUAAGCGGAAUAUGUCAUGUAGCGGUGAAAUGCUUAGAUAUGACAUAGAACACCAAUUGCGAAGGCAGCUUACUACAUAUAAAUUGACGCUGAGGCACGAAAGCGUGGGGAUCAAAC